CCCAGAUCCAGAGCGCUUUUGAGAUUGGCCUUAAUACCGCACUGGAAUGCUUCACUGCCCCAUCUGCGUCUGACUCCCCCUUUCCUCCGGUGUCCUAACUGACACAUCUGGCAGGUCUUGAAUCUUAACGCCUGGCACCCACCUGCCGCAGAUGUUAGACGCUCCCCUCUGAGCAAUGCUUAUAAACAAGACUGCAACUGAGAGUUUCCAAGCAGUAAUAAGCAACAUCUGUACUUCUGUACUGUUGUAUGCUCCACCCAACACUCCUACGCUCAUUUAACUCUUCAGCCAUCUGAAGAGGUUGGCAGGCAGAGGACAGUGGCCUUGUCUGGCUUAUUUCACAAAUGCAAGAUCUCCACCAUGAAUCGGUCUCCAGAAAGAAAAAAAAAUCCUAAGACAAUGAUGUGAAUGGAGACAGGUCACUGGGAGUCAUCGUUGGGGAGUCUAACAAGGAAAGGACAGUGGCUGUAAGUUACGACCAACCUCUCAGGAGUGACUCUCUGCCAGCCUGGCUGCUAAAUCACGGACACCAGCGUAAUUGAAACAGAAAAUCACGCCCGGCAGAACAGCCUAGCAACACCACUAUUAGCAGCUGUGGCUCUCCACUUCGAACCAGGGAGCUAAUACGCCUCUUUAUGCAUGCGCAGGCACUGCCAGAUAUAUAUCUUCACCAAUGUUUUCAUAGGGACUGGGCCUUCCCACUCCUUCCUGCCACCACGAAGCUGCUCACUCUGGGAAGACCGAACUUGUCUGUGGUACCUAAGGCUGCCCCACUGUGGGGCUGAUGCAAAACUCUUCUUCCCUCCCCCCUCCCUCCUUUCCUUCCUCCCUUCUUCCCCUUCUCGUCCAUCACUGAGCUUACGGUGGUGCUGAGGAAGCUGAAAACAGAGCAAUCACACAAACCUGGAGGUAAACUGCACCAAUUGCCCUAAUCAAGCAAGCUGCUCUCCAAAGGGAUCUGACACCUUGGAAUGAAGGAGGUCACGGUGAGAAAGGGAUAAAGAAACCAGGGUACAGGGAGAGAAGACUGUUCUACACGCCUACAGCUGGAACAAAGGUACUAAGCUAGAGGGAGCUCAGCCUGUGUGGUGAGCCAGAGGAGGGUGGUUCAGGGCCAGGGCAUGAGGAGUGGAGGAUAACUGUACAACUUAAAAGUGCCUGGGAGAUACUCCCGGACCUGCUAGGGAGUCCCUGUGCCUGGCUCCAGUUGUUAGCUCUCCAGUCCCAAAUUUCCACUUUCAAUCACCAUUAUAACCAUGCUCACAAAGAGGGGACUGUUGGAAAGUGGUUGUACUUUGUGCUUUCACAAUGAUGGAGAAGCAUUCCUGGCAUCUGAUAAAGCAGGGAUGGGCGUACAGGAGGUCAGGAAGACGUGGUACGUGACGUUGUGCCAGAUACCGAAUUUCAUUGCACAGCUCAGCAUGUGUGUGUGUGUGUGUGUGUGUGUGUGUGUGUCCCUGAUGUGUGCACAUAUGUGUGUUAGAGGUCAAUUCUAGGUGUCUUCUAUCACUCUCCACCUUAUUUUUUGAGACCGAGUCUCUUCUUGAACCUGGGGCUUGCUUGCUGUUUUAGCCUAUGGAGCCCCCAGUUUCUGUCUUUCUCCAUCCCCCAGGCUCUCAGCUCUGAGAUCACAGACAUACAAUGCCAUGCCUUGGUCAUUUGGGGAGAUGAGGUUUCUGGCCUUCGGUUUCCAUACUUGUGCAGCAAACACAACUUUAUCCACUGUCUCCCCAGACGCGCCCGAGUUGUGGUUUCUGAGCAGAUUUCAUGGAGUGGAAAACUCAAUUUUGGGUUCUCUGGGACACGAUGUUUGUAAUAUAUGAUUGUACAUGUAUAUAUGAUGCUUGUAAUAUGAUUGUCAGUAUAUAUUGAUACCCCUUCCUUCAAACCGCAGGCCUAACCUCCUUACCUGGUCAUAAACAGUCAUGGAGGCUCUCAUCUAAGGGAAAACAUUUGGUAGAGAGAUGAAGCUGAGCAAUGAAGAAUGGUUCUGUCAGAUGGUUCAGUGGUUAGGAGUACUUCCUGUACAAACAGGAGGAGGGCGGGGGUUCAGAUUGCAGGACCCACGUAAGAAGACAGUAUCCUGCAUCCAUCUGUAACUCCAGCUCUAAGGACAAUGGAGAUAGACUCCUUGGGUUGGCUGACUUCCAGCCUAGAGACCCCUCCUCAAAACAAAAGGAGAAAAAGAAAGAGAAACCCUGAGGCCUUCUUCCGGCUUCUGUGGGCACAGGCAAACACAUGUAUGCAGCGGCUCCUACACUCACACAUGCACACAAACAAAUAAAUAAUUAGGAAAAGAAUAGUUCUGUGUGCCUCUAAUCUCUUGAGAGGCUCACUCUGGGGAUGCCAGUGGCCAUGCUGUGGCAGCAUUCUAGCCGCCUUGCAGGAAGCUAGAACUGAAGCUGCCUGCCACAGCCAGCGCUGACCUGCCCGUUGUGGGGCCGUUGUACUUUGGAUCUUCAAAGGCCCCUGUGCUUAAGACCUGGUUCUAAACCUGUGACGCUUUCGUCAGGCACUUGGAUGGAGAAGAGGUAGGGCCUGGUGGGAGGAAGGUGGCUGCUGGUGUCCGGUAUGGCUUGGAAGGGGAUAAUGGAAUUCUGGCCCCUUCUUUGCUCUCCUUUGUUACCUGGCCACCAGGAGAGAAGCUCUCCCUGCCACAUCUCCCCUGCCAUGAUAUGCGAUGCCACUAUGUCCUCCAGAAUAAUGGGCCAGCUGAGCAGGGAUGCAGCUUCUCACACUGAGCCAAAACAAACCUUUCCUCCUCUGAUGCGGAAUUCUGUCAAGUACUUUGUGGCAGUGGCAGAGAAUGUACACAGUUAUCUGAGCCACCCAGGAAGGAGACAGACUGUGUGGCCAGCCCAGGCAAGCAUUCAGAUGACUGAGGCCUCAGCCUGUGGGGAGAGAAGGGGGUUCAGACACCAUGGAUCAGACACUAGCUGUCUCCUGUGCCCCAUCUCCUCUUCUCUCCUACACACAGGCAAAGAAUGUUUCUUCAACAGUUUUAGUAUGUAUGGAAACUUCUAGAAGUAUACCUACUGUGUAAGCCAAGGGGACACAUGCAUUUAGUUUUGUUUGUGUGUUUUGUGUAUGGGACAUAGGGUCCCACUAUGGUGCCUAGGUUGUUCUGGAAGUUGCUAUGUAGCCCAGGCUGGCCUUGAACUCACAAUUUUUCUACUUCUACUUAAAUACUGGGAUUACAGGGGUGUGUGUGUGUGUGUGUGUGUGUGUGUGUGUGUGUGUGUGUGUGCGCGCCACCGUGCCCAGUUUUUACUAAAAGCUGUUUGAAAGGGAUUAAAAUAUCAUGAUAUGUCGUCAAGUGUGUCACUUGUCACACUUACAGCUGCUCCCUUACAGUUACUCUUCAAGUACGUGAGGUGCAGUGGAACUGGGCUGUGUGUGUUGUACAGUUGUAGCCAUUUGUUUUCACUGGGACGGAUAAGAACCUGACCCUUUCCUGAUGUCCCUCCAGGCAUCCGAGCCUCUGUAUACAGGGCCAUAAAUAGCACUUCUUCAGUUCCUUCAUCCUGGAGUUGGACUGUUACAUCUAUUUUUAAAACUCAUGAGUAGGCACUUUCUGUUUUUAAAGGAGAUUUCAUUUCCUGUUAGUGAAGGGACAUUAUAAAAUACCAGUCAAGGAAAAGAGUGUGGGACUCUGGGGCACUUCCUAGAGAAUACUUUACUGGCCUAGGAAAUUAUGAUUGUUUGUUCUUCGGCUUCUAGAACAAACCCCUUGGCAACCUUCAGAAUUAUUCCCUCCUGUCUGACUCGAGGAAUUUUCUUCUUGAGCUCCAGGAGCCUUCUGCUGUCCCCCAACAUUCUGCACUUUCUACUUCCCUCUAUAGUGCUUUCUUAUCUUGACCUCUCUCUUUCCCCUUGCCUUUUGAAAUCUCUUUCAUUCCAUCCUAACACAGUCACUCUACAAACAAAUACAGAGCACACAUGUCUAUGUCUAUACACAUGGGGCUCCAGCACGGGGACAGGAGCCAGUUGCCUGUCACCCUCCCCAGAACUUGGGAGAGAUUACUCUGCUCAUUGAAGACAUAUUUGAAAACUAAUACACGCAGAGAGAGAACCCCCAACAGGCCUUUCAUCUUCGCUCUCUCCUGAAUUGCUCUCUGCCAGCAUUCCGGGUUUCUCUUGUUAUAGAUACACUGUAGCAACCUCAGAGCUUUCUGCAUAGCCUGAAGGCUCAGCAACACAGCCAGUCUUUCCUCCUUCUAGCCUGAACAGCUCCAGAAGCAUUCUCUACUGUUUGCACACACCUGAUAUGUGAGUGCACCUGCCAACUCUCUCCACACUCCCUAGCAGAGGGGGAUUGGUACUUGCUGCCACUUCUCUUCCCUGAGGAGUGAAGACAGCAUGGGAAAUUUAGACCCUGGGCUGCUUCUCUUCAGAGACCACCCUGCUAAGUAAUGGGUGACUCCAGGUAACCAGGACCAUUAAGACACCGAAAUACCCCACUGCCUCUUUCUCUGUGCUUAGCAACAGCCCACUGCGUCUAUUAACUCCCUGAUAAUUGCCUGCCCUCUGCCUUCUUCCUGAGGGCUGGUGUAGUUCAAGGACCCUCCCAGAGACUGCUUCGUCGGCAUUUUUCGAGGGGCUGACUUUGGAAGACACAAACACAUAUACACACAUUCAUAUGGAAACAUGUGUUUACACACAAAUAUAGACAUAUACACACAAGAUACAGGAGAAAGCUUUUUCAGAUGUGCUCACAAAUGUGCUGCAAGAAGCAGCCUUGUAAAACCAUGCUGAACUUUACUUAUGUUGUAAAAAAACCAAACAAACAAAAACAAGACAGAUUCUCUAGAAGGUUCCUGUAGCCCCUCUUCUCCAAUCCCAUCCAGAUCUUUCCAGAUAAGAUAAUUUGGAAGGGAGCCAGCACGGACACAUUUCUGGCCACAAGAGGGCACUCUGCAAUCCCCAAAACAGGAUAUUUGUGGCUUCUUUCUUCUCUCUUUCUUUCUUUCUUCCUUUCUUUCUUUCUUUCUUUCUUUCUCUCUUUCUUUCUACCUUUCUUCCUUUUUAAAGAACCGGCAUAUGCGUAUGGACCCAGGCUAACAGUCAACAGACAAUCCAUCUUGCAGAGACAGUGGUGGCAAAUGGAUUUUUAGAUAAGGGAGGGAAGCCAGGCACGGCAGCUGUCAAGAGGGGUGAAGUGGAGACGGGGGUUUUGUUCUUUCUUGCAGGUGGAUCGUGGAGAGCCUCGGUUUUGUUUGUCCUUACUCAGUAGGUAGCAAAUUCCAGCCCUGAGGUUCUUAACUGGGGUUGUCAAUAGUGUGCCCUCUUCCACCCUAUUGCCUCCAGCCACUGAGCUUAGGAAAACCCUUGUCAGCUCUGCAGCAGGACUAAGCCAGGGUUCAGACAGCAAGUGGUCCAAGUCACUGUUCUGAACUUCUGGUCUACUCAGAGACAAAUUGGUGACCAGCUCGGUUUGGCAGAGGUUGCUACAGUUCCUGGUAGGAAAGGCAGCUUGGGAUAUCAGCUGCCACCUUUUCUCCAUCUAGACCAAGGCGGUGUUCCCUAGUGGCACAGCCUCAGAUGCAGAGUGUGCUCUAAUGGUUAUUUGGAAAGGACUCCAGAAACUACUUACGGUGGGGAUUGAAGGACAAGCCACUAGAUGUUCUCUCAUGAAAGUUACUACUGUGAGAGCUCAAUUCCACUGGGAAACUCCUGAGCCAGUGCAGGACAUGGGCCACUCCCAGAGCUGUCGUUAGUUUUCAGCUGAGAGAUUCAAGGGGAGUGGGACUGGCAGGAGGCCCCGGCCAUUGCACACAGUCCUUAGGCGAACAUGCAAAAUGUGUAAGUCUGAGGAGCCGUGGGCGGGCACAGGUGGCUUCGUCCACCUCCUGCCUCCCUGAUUGCUUCAGUCAGCCAACACAGACUGCUCACGUCUCUUUCCUGGCUCUGACAUCGGCACUAGGGCAUCUCAUGUCUCCCAGGUUUUCUCAGAGCUCCGGCCAGGGCUCGGCAAAUUGACACCCUGUAGCAUUAGAGAUACCCAAUCAUUAGAGAUACUUAUUAUGCCAUUGGGGAGAGGAGGCAGACUCGCCCACAUGGGAAGGAAGCUAGCUGCAGAGCUCUUGGCUUUGGGGGGCUGGAAUCACAUACUAGGUAGAUGUUGGUGUGGCUCCACGGGGUGCUGGGUCGGAGUCAUGCUGUGUCUAAGAGUUGAGGCCAUAGGACCUCACUGCAAAGACAGUGCUGCGGUUCUCAACCUGUGGGUCGAGCUGUCUUUUGGGGGUCCUGUGUCAAAUAUCCUGUAUAUCAGAUAUUUACACUACGAGUCAUAACAGUAGCAAAAUUACAGUUAUGAAAUAGCAACAUUAAUAAUUUUAUGGUUAAAGAAUAUCAUAACACUAGAAACUGUUUUAAAGGGUUGAGGGAGUAUUAGGAAGGCUGAGAAUCACUGGC